CUGCAGGAUAGGUUUUGAUGUAGCCUGUGUAGUGCUGCGUUGUUGAUCACCCUGCAAAGAGUAACAUGUUUCAUUCUAUCCCUGUCUGUUUCAGUUUCAAGUCAGUCAGGGGCGCUUGGUUUCAGACAA
rnacentral:snoRNA from 1 species